rnacentral:sRNA from 1 species
GAUCAUAUGUUGCCGAUUAAGACCGCGACGUCCAUGUCGCAACAUCGGCAUCAGCACAUCCUGUGCA